UGCAGUCGAGCGAAUGGAUUAAGAGCUUGCUCUUAUGAAGUUAGCGGCCGACGGGUGAGUAACACGUGGGUAACCUGCCCAUAAGACUGGCAUAACUCCGGGAAACCGGGGCUAAUACCGGAUAACAUUUUGAACCGCAUGGUUCGAAAUUGAAAGGCGGCUUCGGCUGUCACUUAUGGAUGGACCCGCGUCGCAUUAGCUAGUUGGUGAGGUAACGGCUCACCAAGGCAACGAUGCGUAGCCGACCUGAGAGGGUGAUCGGCCACACUGGGACUGAGACACGGCCCAGACUCCUACGGGAGGCAGCAGUAGGGAAUCUUCCGCAAUGGACGAAAGUCUGACGGAGCAACGCCGCGUGAGUGAUGAAGGCUUUCGGGUCGUAAAACUCUGUUGUUAGGGAAGAACAAGUGCUAGUUGAAUAAGCUGGCACCUUGACGGUACCUAACCAGAAAGCCACGGCUAACUACGUGCCAGCAGCCGCGGUAAUACGUAGGUGGCAAGCGUUAUCCGGAAUUAUUGGGCGUAAAGCGCGCGCAGGUGGUUUCUUAAGUCUGAUGUGAAAGCCCACGGCUCAACCGUGGAGGGUCAUUGGAAA
rnacentral:rRNA from 1 species